rnacentral:rRNA from 1 species
UAGGGAAUAUUGCGCAAUGGAGGAAACUCUGACGCAGCGACGCCGCGUGGGUGACGAAGGUCUUCGGAUCGUAAAGCCCUGUCGGAGGGGACGAAAGACUCCAGGAUAAUACUCUGGAGGGAUGACGGUACCCUUAAAGGAAGCACCGGCUAACUACGUGCCAGCAGCCGCGGUAAUACGUAGGGUGCAAGCGUUGUUCGGAAUCAUUGGGCGUAAAGCGUGUGUAGGUGGCUUGCUAAGUUGAUUGUGAAAUCCCUGGGCUCAACCGAGGAAGUGCAGUCAAAACUAGUAGGCUAGAAGAUGGCAGAGGAAGGUGGAAUUCCAAGUGUAGAGGUGAAAUUCGUAGAUAUUUGGAGGAAUACCGGCGGCGAAGGCGGCCUUCUGGACCAUUCUUGACACUGAGACACGAAAGCGUGGGUAGCAAACAGG